UUUGAUAUGAAGAGAAAAAAAUGAUUGCAGGAACAGAAAUGGGGUGAAUAUUUGGUUUAGAAAGUGCAGCAGGAAUCGGGAACAUCUGCAGGGAUGCAGUGCCAUCCCCUAAGGUUUCACAAAACAAAACGUCCUCAUCAGAAACACACACCUGAUGGGUUUCUGAGGUUCACCGAGUUUGUCCUGGAGCUCGACCUGGGAACAUGGUGCUUUCCUGUGACUUUCAAAAAGCAGUCAGCUGUUUUGUUUUAUUCAUUGAGGGAGAUUUGCGUGAGCUCCAAAGCCGGCCCGGCCCAUUAAGCAACACAAGCAGCUGUUUGGGGCCACGCCUGCCGCUAAAGAGCCUCCUGAAAGGCGGCAUCACGAUGCAGGCGGUGAACUAAUGUGGCCACAUGCUGCACACAUCUGAGACUCACAGUGAGCGAGUCCUGUCAGCAUCACCUGUUUCCCCCCCCUGAGUAUUCAUGGGAGGAAUGAAAAAUCACGCUGUUGUUGGAGGCUGAGCGGAGCUUUGAUGGAUUAAUCAUGCAAACAUCCUGUGCUUCCAUAGAGAUGAUGGUGGAGUUUGUCGGCGUCGGGUGCAAUCAUUUCGUCAAGUUACUUGUCUCCGUUUGUUUUUCUUCCAGCUGCCAUGUUUUAUUAACCUCUGCUCUCGUUCUGCAACCUGCCAUUCGUCGCCAGCCCACCUGCUGGCCUCAUCGCCCGCCUGGCACACCAAACGCAUUAGGGUACCUCCAGCAUGAGACGCCGAGAACUUUCCAAAAAACCAGGCAACAGGUACCACAACUCACCCUCGUCUGGCUCCUCUGCAUCGCAGAAGUCACAAGGAGCAGCGUGACGUCCCUUCCUGUCCGUCUCAGACACGACUGAAGCGACAGAUCAGUUCAUAGUCCAGCACACCCUGUGUGACACCCCUGGCAGAUCCUCACAGGCCGCCUCAGUCCUCCUCGCUCAGAAGCCUCCACACCGUCAGCGGCUCAUUCUUCCAGAUGAAAGGCAAUCAGUCUGCAGCCUGGCGGUGUGUGUUUUCAGCCUGCAGUCUGUCAUGGCUGCCUCUUCCCAGAAGGCCGUUGGCUCACAGCUUGUUACAGCCUGUGUGUCUGCAUGCCCCGGCCCGGCCCCAGAG